rnacentral:rRNA from 1 species
AUUGAACGCUGGCGGCAGGCUUAACACAUGCAAGUCGAGCGGGGUGAUGGUGCUUGCACUAUCACUUAGCGGCGGACGGGUGAGUAACGCGUAGGAAUAUGCCUUAAAGAGGGGGAUACCCUGGGGAAACUCAGGAUAAUACCGCAUAGACUCUGAGGAGGGAAGCUGGGGACCUUCGGGCCUGGCGCUUUAAGAUUAGCCUGCGUCCGAUUAGCUAGUUGGUAGGGUAAAGGCCUACCAAGGCGACGAUCGGUAGCUGGUCUGAGAGGAUGACCAGCCACACUGGGACUGAGACACGGCCCAGACUCCUACGGGAGGCAGCAGUGGGGAAUAUUGGACAAUGGGGGGAACCCUGAUCCAGCAAUGCCGCGUGUGUGAAGAAGGCCUGAGGGUUGUAAAGCACUUUCAGUGGGGAGGAGGUAUGGAAGGUUAAGAGCUAUUCAUAUGGACGUUACCCACAGAAGAAGCACCGGCUAACUCCGUGCCAGCCGCCGCCGUAA